rnacentral:rRNA from 1 species
AAUGAACGCUGGCGGCAGGCCUAACACAUGCAAGUCGAACGGAUCCUUCGGGAUUAGUGGCGGACGGGUGAGUAACGCGUGGGAACAUACCCAAAGGUACGGAAUAGCCUCGGGAAACUGGGAGUAAUACCGUAUGUGCUCGAAAGAGGAAAGAUUUAUCGCCUUUGGAUUGGCCCGCGUUGGAUUAGGUAGUUGGUGGGGUAAUGGCCUACCAAGCCGACGAUCCAUAGCUGGUUUGAGAGGAUGAUCAGCCACACUGGGACUGAGACACGGCCCAGAGUCCUACGGGAGGCAGCAGUGGGGAAUCUUAGACAAUGGGGGAAACCUUGAUCUAGCCAUGCCGCGUGAUCGAUGAAGGCCUUAGGGUUGUAAAGAUCUUUCAGGUGGGAAGAUAAUGACUGUACCACCAGAAGAAGCCCCGGCUAACUCCGUGCCAGCAGCCGCCGUAA